rnacentral:sRNA from 1 species
ACUUCAAAGAAUCGAAAAUAGUUAACCAACUUAAAUGCUGACAGAGCUUGGAUUUGAUCCGUCACAUCACUAUCUCUCCUCUCCACUUGGCUCAUCAUAUCAUCAUCACAUGUCGAAUUGAAAAUUAACUUUUUGCUGAUAUGUGUGUAUAACCAUUUGAUAUCCAUGUGGACAUUGCUCUCUUGUUCUCUAGCUGGUUUCAUACAUAGAUAGAUUCGAUAGAUCGUUUCCAAUUCAAUGCAGACAUAUAUCUCCAAUUCUCCUUGAUCAAUACAUACAUACAUUUUAGCUUAUAGCUUACCUUUCUUCUCUUUAUUAUUAUUACAUGGUACCAUUUAGAUCUGUAUGAUGCAUGAGUCAUGUUGAAAUCUUUUAGAAGCGGUUAUGUAUGUAGGAUGGAAAAGAAAAAGAAAGGAAAGGAAAGGAAAAUAUAGAGAUAAAGAAAAAUCAAUACGAAACUCAUUAAACCGUCCCAUACGGCAAGGUAUUGUAACGGGGUCGUAACACCCCCACGUACCAUUUCUCCCAGUGCUGUAUGAUGGCAUGGAACAGGCAAGGUGUGGCGGAAUAGCUGUGAGGAUGCGGCUC